ACUGCCUGGUACCCAAGGCUGUUUGUCCGUGUUUGGGGGAAGACCAACACACAGAUAUAGCACGGCAGCCCGAAUCACACUUGUUUUAAGAUUCAGGGCACUUACUACAGUAUUCCUGCCAGAACGCACUUUUUUUGUUACACCAGGACCCGACUGGAAAAUAUAAAGAUGGAUUGCUGUAGGCUGGAAAAUCAAUUAGGAAAGAAAGGAAUUCAGGCACGGUUGAGCUGUGUUUUCUGGCGCAAGAGCUUUCUCACAAGGCAGAAAUCAAGUGUGUUCGUGGUCACAAAAGUCCUAGAGACUGGGACCUAAGGCUGUCUGGCUUCAGGACAACAAUCUGUGUCGGGAUUAUGAUUUGAGAAAGUUCUAUCACCACCACCA